rnacentral:lncRNA from 1 species
CCUCUUGGUAUGCAAUUCCAGUGUCUCUGGCAGAGGUUGGGAAAUAUCUGUUUCCACCAACACUCUAGCAAAGGAAAUCCUCUCUUGUUCAGCCGUUAUCUUAUCAGUAUACAUAGGCUUUCCCACUACACUUGCCAGCUUCCCAAGAGCUUCACCGGACCAGUAUCCUAGAGGUAGCCCAGGGAAUGUGACCCAUAAGGGUACUACACUCACAUUUCUUGGUUCAUAUUUAAAGUCCAUACUCCAUUGUUGCAGCACCAGUGGUUUAUUGUGGAAAGUGUAGGGGCCAGCUUGGAGAACUCGAUCUCUUUCUUCAUCAGUAUCAAAUCUAAAGAUAAAAUACCCUUCGUC